rnacentral:tRNA from 1 species
GCGUGUCCUUGCGAAGAUAAACCGCAGUUUCCUAAACUGUAGGUCGUACGUUCGAAUCGUAUCGGGCGCG